GGAGCAUGUGGUUUAAUUCGAAGCAACGCGAAGAACCUUACCAAAUCUUGACAUCCUUUGAAAACUCUAGAGAUAGAGCCUUCCCCUUCGGGGGACAAAGUGACAGGUGGUGCAUGGUUGUCGUCAGCUCGUGUCGUGAGAUGUUGGGUUAAGUCCCGCAACGAGCGCAACCCUUAAGCUUAGUUGCCAUCAUUAAGUUGGGCACUCUAGGUUGACUGCCGGUGACAAACCGGAGGAAGGUGGGGAUGACGUCAAAUCAUCAUGCCCCUCAUGAUUUGGGCUACACACGUGCUACAAUGGACAAUACAAAGGGCAGCUAAACCGCGAGGUCAUGCAAAUCCCAUAAAGUUGUUCUCAGUUCGGAUUGUAGUCUGCAACUCGACUACAUGAAGCUGGAAUCGCUAGUAAUCGUAGAUCAGCAUGCUACGGUGAAUACGUUCCCGGGUCUUGUACACACCGCCCGUCACACCACGAGAGUUUGUAACACCCGAAGCCGGUGGAGUAACCAUUUAUGGAGCUAGCCGUCGAAGGUGGGACAAAUGAUUGGGGUGAAGUCGUAACAAGGUAAC
rnacentral:rRNA from 1 species